ACAGCACAUCUAGCAAAAAAUCAACUCAAACAGAAAGGAAACAAGUCACCAAUUCCUUUGUUGUUUUUCAGCUAUGUUAACUCACAAUUUCAUUAUUCUUUUUUGUUUUCCUCAAAGAUGUUUGGUUCAUAGAAUUGUACAGCAUUUGAGGAUAACAGAGUAUUUAACAAUUCUUCCAAAUUUGAGUUUGAAUUCCCAAACGAGGCACAACUCUUGAUAAAACAAUGUAACCAAGAACAAUAAAAUGGCUGCAUCAUUCACAAAAUAAAAAUUCAAUGAUAUGAUCAAUUUUUUUUAAUAUGAUAUCACCGUUAUAUUAAUUUAUUUUUUUUUAACGUCCAAUGCCCAUUUACAAACGAAUAAUAGUGUGAUAAGUAAAUUUGUUUAUCUUAUAUCAUGGCUCAACACAAUCCAUAUGUUGCACAUAUUGUUUUAAAGUUUGGCAACUUAAUUUCAAUAGGACUUCUAAUAUAAUAUAUCCUUUUAGUCAUGGGGGAACCAAAAUUUAAAGCUUAAAUUAAAAAAAAAAACUAUCCAUGCAUUCUUCUUUAAUUGAAUUGUCAUUUGUGCUUCUAUUUUAUUGCACUUUUCAUCAGGUUUAUUUAAGAAAAUUAAUUCCAUGAUUGUAUCCAUAAAUCCUAUAUCACAUCUCUCUUGCUUGCUUUGUAUCUUCAAGUGAUUAACAGGUUUCUUGAUUUCUUCAGUGCAAUGGUAUUUUAAAGUGCGUAGGUUUCUUGAUUUCAAAUUUAAAACUCUCUCUCUUUUCUCUCUCUCAGCUUUUGUUGUUUCCUUCUUUCCCCCAUCAGAGCUCACUCCGGUAAGUUAUUUCUCUCAGAUUUUGUUGUUUCACUCCUCUCCUUCUUUCUCUUUCAGCUUUUGUUGCCCUCCGUGAAAUUUAUAAUUUUAAAGUUGCCCUUUUGUUCUCUAUUCUGUUUAAAAUAUGUAGAAAUUCAAACAUGUCUACAACUCCAGAUAUUGAUUAUUCUUUGUUUUUCCUUUUCCCCUCCCGUUUCUGCCUCUGCUACAUUAAUUUUGUUUCCUAGCUCUUUGAUUUACACAUUAUGAUGAGAAGGUAGGCCAAUGUAGCUCUUUUUUAUUUUUUAGAUAACUAAAUGAAGAAUUAUGUUCGAAAUCAAAAUUACAGCGCUGAUAGGAAGUUGACUGACUGGAAUACAGGGAGAAACUAAGCCUGGGCGCAAAACACUUCUCCUGAUGAUGGUUUAUUAGAUAGACUUAUGCCACUGGGACACCCAACUUUUGUUGUUUCCUUCUUUCCCCCAUCAGAGCUCACUCCGGUAAGUUAUUUCUCUCAGAUUUUGUUGUUUCACUCCUCUCCUUCUUUCUCUUUCAGCUUUUGUUGCCCUUCGUGAAAUUUAUAAUUUUAAAGUUGCCCUUUUGUUCUCUAUUCUGUUUAAAAUAUGUAGAAAUUCAAACAUGUCUACAACUCCAGAUAUUGAUUAUUCUUUGUUUUUCCUUUUCCCCUCCUGUUUCUGCCUCUGCUACAUUAAUUUUGUUUCCUAGCUCUUUGAUUUACACAUUAUGAUGAGAAGGUAGACCAAUGCAGCUCUUUUUUAUUUUUUAGAUAACUAAAUGAAGAAUUAUGUUCGAAAUCAAAAUUACAGCGCUGAUAGGAAGUUGACUAACUGGAAUACAGGGAGAAACUAAGCCUGGGCGCAAAACACUUCUCCUGAUGAUGGUUUAUUAGACAGACUUAUGCCACUGGGACACCCAAGUAUGUGUUCCAUCAGUGCAAUGGUGUUUUAAAGUACUUUAACUCAUUGCAGAGUGAAUGCUUUUCUGCCUGUUUCCAAUCUGAUGUAAAUAUGGUCAUUUCAGCACCAACGGGAAGUGGAAAAACAAUAUUUUUUGAGCUUUGCAUUUUGAGACUGCUCUCAAGGUUCAUCUCUACAGAGGGAAGAUUUAUUCACUUAAAGCGAAUGCUUAAAACAGUAGGCUUUCUACAAUUUUGUAUAUGAAAAAUUUUUAGAUGUUUAUUUAAACACUGAAAAGUGCAGAAGAUUAUUGAUUU